rnacentral:rRNA from 1 species
CUAAAUAAGUCGAACGGUGAACACGGAGCUUGCUCUGUGGGAUCAGUGGCGAACGGGUGAGUAACACGUGAGCAACCUACCCCUGACUCUGGGAUAAGCGCUGGAAACGGCGUCUAAUACUGGAUACGAGUGGCGACCGCAUGGUCAGCUACUGGAAAGAUUUAUUGGUUGGGGAUGGGCUCGCGGCCUAUCAGCUUGUUGGUGAGGUAAUGGCUCACCAAGGCGUCGACGGGUAGCCGGCCUGAGAGGGUGACCGGCCACACUGGGACUGAGACACGGCCCAGACUCCUACGGGAGGCAGCAGUGGGGAAUAUUGCACAAUGGGCGCAAGCCUGAUGCAGCAACGCCGCGUGAGGGAUGACGGCCUUCGGGUUGUAAACCUCUUUUAGCAGGGAAGAAGCGAAAGUGACGGUACCUGCAGAAAAAGCGCCGGCUAACUACGUGCCAGCAGCCGCGGUAAUACGUAGGGCGCAAGCGUUAUCCGGAAUUAUUGGGCGUAAAGAGCUCGUAGGCGGUUUGUCGCGUCUGCUGUGAAAUCCGGAGGCUCAACCUCCGGCCUGCAGUGGGUACGGGCAGACUAGAGUGCGGUAGGGGAGAUUGGAAUUCCUGGUGUAGCGGUGGAAUGCGCAGAUAUCAGGAGGAACACCGAUGGCGAAGGCAGAUCUCUGGGCCGUAACUGACGCUGAGGAGCGAAAGGGUGGGGAGCAAACAGGCUUAGAUACCCUGGUAGUCCACCCCGUAAACGUUGGGAACUAGUUGUGGGGUCCAUUCCACGGAUUCCGUGACGCAGCUAACGCAUUAAGUUCCCCGCCUGGGGAGUACGGCCGCAAGGCUAAAACUCAAAGGAAUUGACGGGGACCCGCACAAGCGGCGGAGCAUGCGGAUUAAUUCGAUGCAACGCGAAGAACCUUACCAAGGCUUGACAUAUACGAGAACGGGCCAGAAAUGGUCAACUCUUUGGACACUCGUAAACAGGUGGUGCAUGGUUGUCGUCAGCUCGUGUCGUGAGAUGUUGGGUUAAGUCCCGCAACGAGCGCAACCCUCGUUCUAUGUUGCCAGCACGUAAUGGUGGGAACUCAUGGGAUACUGCCGGGGUCAACUCGGAGGAAGGUGGGGAUGACGUCAAAUCAUCAUGCCCCUUAUGUCUUGGGCUUCACGCAUGCUACAAUGGGCCGGUACAAAGGGCUGCAAUACCGCGA